GGGUGACUGCGUACCUUUUGUAUAAUGGGUCAGCGACUUAUAUUCUGUAGCAAGGUUAACCGUAUAGGGGAGCCGCAGGGAAACCGAGUCUUAACUGGGCGUUAAGUUGCAGGGUAUAGACCCGAAACCCGGUGAUCUAGCCAUGGGCAGGUUGAAGGUUGGGUAACACUAACUGGAGGACCGAACCGACUAAUGUUGAAAAAUUAGCGGAUGACUUGUGGCUGGGGGUGAAAGGCCAAUCAAACCGGGAGAUAGCUGGUUCUCCCCGAAAGCUAUUUAGGUAGCGCCUCGUGAAUUCAUCUUCGGGGGUAGAGCACUGUUUCGGCUAGGGGGUCAUCCCGACUUACCAACCCGAUGCAAACUACGAAUACCGAAGAAUGUUAUCACGGGAGACACACGGCGGGUGCUAACGUCCGUCGUGAAGAGGGAAACAACCCAGACCGCCAGCUAAGGUCCCAAAGUCAUGGUUAAGUGGGAAACGAUGUGGGAAGGCCCAGACAGCCAGGAUGUUGGCUUAGAAGCAGCCAUCAUUUAAAGAAAGCGUAAUAGCUCACUGGUCGAGUCGGCCUGCGCGGAAGAUGUAACGGGGCUAAACCAUGCACCGAAGCUGCGGCAGCGACACUAUGUGUUGUUGGGUAGGGGAGCGUUCUGUAAGCCGUUGAAGGUGGCCUGUGAGGGUUGCUGGAGGUAUCAGAAGUGCGAAUGCUGACAUAAGUAACGAUAAUGCGGGUGAAAAACCCGCACGCCGGAAGACCAAGGGUUCCUGUCCAACGUUAAUCGGGGCAGGGUGAGUCGACCCCUAAGGCGAGGCCGAAAGGCGUAGUCGAUGGGAAACAGGUUAAUAUUCCUGUACUUGGUGUUACUGCGAAGGGGGGACGGAGAAGGCUAUGUUGGCCGGGCGACGGUUGUCCCGGUUUAAGCAUGUAGGCGGAUGUUCCAGGUAAAUCCGGAGCGUCACUAACGCUGAGGUGUGAUGACGAGGCACUACGGUGCUGAAGUGACAAAUGCCCUGCUUCCAGGAAAAGCCUCUAAGCAUCAGGUAACAUCAAAUCGUACCCCAAACCGACACAGGUGGUCAGGUAGAGAAUACCAAGGCGCUUGAGAGAACUCGGGUGAAGGAACUAGGCAAAAUGGUGCCGUAACUUCGGGAGAAGGCACGCUGAUGGUAGGUGAAGUGACUUGCUCAUGGAGCUGAAAUCAGUCGAAGAUACCAGCUGGCUGCAACUGUUUAUUAAAAACACAGCACUGUGCAAACACGAAAGUGGACGUAUACGGUGUGACGCCUGCCCGGUGCCGGAAGGUUAAUUGAUGGGGUUAUCCUCGCGGAGAAGCUCUUGAUCGAAGCCCCGGUAAACGGCGGCCGUAACUAUAACGGUCCUAAGGUAGCGAAAUUCCUUGUCGGGUAAGUUCCGACCUGCACGAAUGGCGUAAUGAUGGCCAGGCUGUCUCCACCCGAGACUCAGUGAAAUUGAACUCGCUGUGAAGAUGCAGUGUACCCGCGGCAAGACGGAAAGACCCCGUGAACCUUUACUAUAGCUUGACACUGAACACUGGUCCUUGAUGUGUAGGAUAGGUGGGAGGCUUUGAAGUGUGGACGCCAGUCUGCAUGGAGCCGUCCUUGAAAUACCACCCUUUAAUGGCUGGUGUUCUAACGUGGGCCCGUGAUCCGGGUUGCGGACAGUGUCUGGUGGGUAGUUUGACUGGGGCGGUCUCCUCCUAAAGAGUAACGGAGGAGCACGAAGGUCAGCUAAUCCUGGUCGGACAUCAGGAGGUUAGUGCAAUGGCAUAAGCUGGCUUGACUGCGAGCGUGACGGCGCGAGCAGGUGCGAAAGCAGGUCAUAGUGAUCCGGUGGUUCUGAAUGGAAGGGCCAUCGCUCAACGGAUAAAAGGUACUCCGGGGAUAACAGGCUGAUACCGCCCAAGAGUUCAUAUCGACGGCGGUGUUUGGCACCUCGAUGUCGGCUCAUCACAUCCUGGGGCUGAAGUAGGUCCCAAGGGUAUGGCUGUUCGCCAUUUAAAGUGGUACGCGAGCUGGGUUUAGAACGUCGUGAGACAGUUCGGUCCCUAUCUGCCGUGGGCGCUGGAGAAUUGAGGGGGGCUGCUCCUAGUACGAGAGGACCGGAGUGGACGCAUCACUGGUGUUCGGGUUGUCAUGCCAAUGGCAUUGCCCGGUAGCUAAAUGCGGAAGAGAUAAGUGCUGAAAGCAUCUAAGCACGAAACUUGCCCCGAGAUGAGUUCUCCCUGACUCCUUGAGAGUCCUGAAGGAACGUUGAAGACGACGACGUUGAUAGGCCGGGUGUGUAAGCGCAGCGAUGCGUUGAGCUAACCGGUACUAAUGAACCGUGAGGCUUAACCUU
rnacentral:rRNA from 1 species